GAACGAGAAAGUGGAGCAAUCCAUGAGUACAGUGGCGUACGGGUGAGUAACACGUGACUAACCUACCCUCGAGUGGGGAAUAACUUCGGGAAACCGAGGUUAAUACCGCAUAACAUCUACGGAUCAAAUGCGCAAGCAGCUUGAGGAGGGGGUCGCGGCUGAUUAGCUAGUUGGCGGGGUAACGGCCCACCAAGGCAAUGAUCAGUAGCCGGCCUGAGAGGGCGCACGGCCACACUGGAACUGAAACACGGUCCAGACUCCUACGGGAGGCAGCAGUGGGGAAUUUUGCGCAAUGGGGGAAACCCUGACGCAGCAACGCCGCGUGGAGGAUGAAGCCCCUUGGGGUGUAAACUCCUUUCGAUCGGGACGAUUAUGACGGUACCGGAUGAAGAAGCACCGGCUAACUCUGUG
rnacentral:rRNA from 1 species